rnacentral:rRNA from 1 species
CUACGGGUCGCAGCAGUGGGGAAUAUUGGACAAUGGGGGGAACCCUGAUGCAGCAACGCCGCGUGGAGGAUGACGCAUUUCGGUGUGUAAACUCCUUUUAUAUGUCAAGAAAAUGACGGUAGCAUAUGAAUAAGCACCGGCUAACUCCGUGCCAGCAGCCGCGGUAAUACGGAGGGUGCAAGCGUUACUCGGAAUCACUGGGCGUAAAGGACGCGUAGGCGGGUUGGAAAGUCAGGUGUGAAAUCCUACAGCUUAACUGUAGAACUGCACUUGAAACUUCUAAUCUAGAGUAUGGGAGGGGGAGAUGGAAUUAGUGGUGUAGGGGUAAAAUCCGUAGAUAUCACUAGGAAUACCUAAAGCGAAGGCGAUCUCCUGGAACAUUACUGACGCUAAGGCGUGAAAGCGCGGGGAGCAAACAGGAUUAGAUACCCCCGUAGUC